rnacentral:rRNA from 1 species
GUGGGGAAUAUUGGACAUUGGGCGAAAGCCUGAUCCAGCCAUGCCGCGUGUGUGAAGAAGGUCUUCGGAUUGUAAAGCACUUUAAGUUGGGAGGAAGGGUAGUAACCUAAUACGUUGCUACUUUGACGUUACCGACAGAAUAAGCACCGGCUAACUUCGUGCCAGCAGCCGCGGUAAUACGAAGGGUGCAAGCGUUAAUCGGAAUUACUGGGCGUAAAGCGCGCGUAGGUGGUUCAGUAAGUUGGAAGUGAAAUCCCCGGGCUCAACCUGGGAACUGCUUUCAAAACUGCUGAGCUAGAGUACGGUAGAGGGUGGUGGGAUUUCCUGUGUAGCGGUGAAAUGCGUAGAUAUAGGAAGGAACACCAGUGGCGAAGGCGACCACCUGGACUGAUACUGACACUGAGGUGCGAAAGCGUGGGGAGCAAACAGGAUUAGAUACCCUUGUGGUCC